rnacentral:rRNA from 1 species
AUGGCGACGGCGGCUUCGCAUGCACGCAGCAGCAUCCUCGUUUCCGUUUGCGCUGGGUGCUUCCUCCUCCUCUGCUUGCCGUGUGAUGCUGCCGCCUCGCCUCUCUCCUUCAGCUUCGACUUCUCCAACAAAUCCACCUUCAGCUCACGAAUCCAGGUCAUGGGCGACGCGCUCCAGCAAGACAACCUGGUCGACCUCACGGUGGACACCUCGUACAGGCGUGGCAUCCACUAUCUCAAGGGGCGGAUGUCGUACGUCGACCCUGUGCCCUUCUUUGACGGCACCACCCACGAGCUGACGAGCUUCGUCACGCACUUCACCUUCGCGAUCAAGCCCAUCCCAGGGGAGAUAAGGGGGGACGGCAUGGCUUUCUUCCUCUCCAGCUUCCCGCCGACGGUGCCGGCCAACUCGACCGGGGGCAACCUUGGCCUCAUUGUCCAGGGUGACGGCAACGCCUUGGGCGCAGACCGGUUCGUCGCCAUCGUGUUCAAGACGUUCAACAGCUCGGACCACAUCGGCAUCGACAUCAACUCUGCCUCGUCCUCCAAAAAUGAAACAGCCUUGCCCGACUUCAGCCUGAAUGGCUCCAUGACGGCGUGCAUCACUCUUAAUGGCACCACCGGGAUGAUCGAUGCCUCCCUGCAGUUUAACGACAACCGUUCCCUUGGUCCCUUUAAGGUUAGUUAUCAACUACCCGAUCCAUCGUCCUUGCUCCCGCCGGAGGUGGCGGUGGGGUUCUCUGCAGGCACAGGCGACUACUCCGAGCGCCAUCAGAUAAUGUCCUGGUCCUUCACCACAACUCUUCCUCAACGCAAAGAUCUGAGCGGAGCGGAAACGAGGAUUUAG